AUUUUGUAAAUUAAUUAAAAUAACCUAAUAAGACAAAUGAUAAAAGCUAUCAUUUUUUUAUUCUUUCUUCUUCAACCGUGGGAAAGAACAGAAAAUAGCAGCCAUGGAUGAGCUCCAUUCGGCCAAGUUUUUAUGGCUUAUAUAGAUGAUGAAAAUUGAGACUUGGACCUAGAACGGAAAGAAAUCGAUUUAUGGACGAGUAUAUCCUUUUCACAUUUGUGGUAUCGAGAGUUCCAGGUUAGCUCGGGUUGGAGGCCGUCGGAGAUAUUAUCACCCUAUCGAGUUAACGUUAUCGGAAUUUUGCUCGUUAGCUAUCGGAUUCGGGAUCAUCGAAGUCGAAGUCAUCCACACUAUCAAAGCCCUUUGGUACUCUUUUAGUUGAACUCUGGAUAUGGCAUGUAUAGGACUACCCUUUGCUGUUUUUUUUCAAGUACGUUUUGUGAUGUAUGUGUGUACAGCCAUGCGAAAAUGGCUCGUAAAAGUGGAGUAUGGCAUUAGACCAUUUGUGUUUAUGUAUAUAUAUAUGGUUUCAUGAUGUGACUAUGGACUGGAAUGGAAGUGUUGGGCAAUGAUCAGCCCUUGGGAUGGCUAAA